AGCGAACGCUGGCGGCAGGCUUAACACAUGCAAGUCGAGCGGGCAUCCUUGUGGUGUCAGCGGCAGACGGGUGAGUAACGCGUGGGAACGUGCCCUUCGGUUCGGAAUAACUCAGGGAAACUUGAGCUAAUACCGGAUACGUGCGAGAGCAGAAAGGUUUAUCUGCCGAAGGAUCGGCCCGCGUCUGAUUAGCUAGUUGGUGAGGUUAUGGCUCACCAAGGCGACGAUCAGUAGCUGGUCUGAGAGGAUGAUCAGCCACACUGGGACUGAGACACGGCCCAGAAUCCUACGGGAGGCAGCAGUGGGGAAUAUUGGACAAUGGGGGCAACCCUGAUCCAGCCAUGCCGCGUGAGUGAUGACGGCCUUAGGGUUGUAAAGCUCUUUUCUUCGGGACGAUAAUGACGGUACCGGAGGAAUAAGCCCCGGCUAACUUCGUG
rnacentral:rRNA from 1 species